GUGAUGAAUAAGAAGGAAGGGGUCCUGGGGCCAAGAAGAGCUGAGAGAGCUACCCAGUGGGUGUAUCCAGCUGCCCAGAAGAGCCAGAAAGAUUCUGCCGCUGGACAGAAGCAGUAGGUGGUGCAGGCAUUGCUGCAUGGAGGGUCCAUGAGGGACUGGGACUUUGGGAGCUGCACCAAGGCAGCUCAGGUCUCCAACCCUGGCACAAGGCCAGGCUUGGGAGUCUGUGCUACUGCAGGAUUAUGCCAAACCACUCUGCUGCUGAGUCAUCAUUCCUGGAACCCAGACUAUUUUUAGCUUCUGAGACACCCUCCUUCAAAACUACUACUGGUGCCCCUGCAACACACUGAAUUCUAGUCAAAAGAUGUACAACUGUAAGGAGAACUGGGUACCUCUUAUUUCUUGGCUUAGAGUGGAUAGUCUGGAAAUUCUAAAUUCACUAAUACUGAACAAUCAGGACCUUUCACAGUGUCAGCUCUUUUGGAACUGGACAGCUUGCCUCUAUAGUCUUACAACCGGAACUGGGGUUCAGCGUCACUGGUCAAGUUCCAAUCUUCCAUCCCCGACAGCAGUCAGCUUUUUUUGACUGAAGUGGCCAAUAAUGUUGCUGAUAAAUGCCCCAUGCAUGUGCACAGCUGCAGCGCAGCAUGCAGGCAGCCAGGAGCACAGCCCAGCAGCAUGGAGAACAGCCGGAUAUGGCUGGUAAAUCUAUUAUAUGGGAAGAGGCAUGGGGGGGUGCAGAUUGAGGCCCCAGAGGUGAGGGAAGGAGUGGGGCUGGGACUGAACCAUGAGUGGCUUGUCUGGGGUGCACAGGGGAGGG